GGGUGCGAUUAUACCAGCACUAAUAUACCAGAUCCCAUCACAACUCUGUAAUUAAGCGUGCUUGGGAGAGAGUAGUCCUAGGAUGGGUGACUUGUGGGAAGUCCUCGUGUUGCACCCC
rfam:Beta vulgaris subsp. vulgaris Bvchr3.sca011.con0028.1, whole genome shotgun sequence.